rnacentral:rRNA from 1 species
UACGGAGGAUGCAAGCGUUAUCCGGAAUGAUUGGGCGUAAAGGGUGCGUAGGUGGCGGGGUAAGUUUGAUGUGAAAUCUCCGAGCUCAACUCGGAAAUGGCAUUGAAUACUACUCUGCUCGAGGUUUGGAGGGGGGACUGGAAUUCUCGGUGUAGCAGUGAAAUGCGUAGAUAUCGAGAGGAACACCAGUGGCGAAGGCGAGUCCCUGGACAACACCUGACACUGGGGCACGAAAGCUAGGGGAGCAAACAGG